GCUUGGGUAGCUCAGUUGGUAGAGCACUUGCCCGUGGAAGGCAAAGGUCCCGAGUUCGAUUCUCGGUCCGGCACGCA
rnacentral:tRNA from 1 species